rnacentral:lncRNA from 1 species
AAUAAAGAUAAGAACAGAAACCAAUGGAGUAGAAAAUGGAAAACAAUGGAAAAAAUCAAAAACUGGUUCUUUGUAAAAGAUUAAUAACUGCUCAAGACCGCUAAAGGAAAAAAAAAGGAACUAAGAUACAAAUUACAGUAUCAAGAAUCAGAGGGCAACAUUGGAACAGAUUCUAAACAUAUUAAAAGGACAAUACAUUGCUAUGAUCUGAAUUUUUGUGAGCCUCCCCACACACAACCCCACUCCACUCCAAGUUUAUGUGUUGAAACUUAAUCCCCAGUUCACUGGUGUUGGCAGGUGGGGCAUCUGGUGGGUAAUUAGCUCAUGAGCAGAGCUGUCAUGAAUGUGAUUAGUGUCAUUAUAAAAGAGACCUGAGAGAGAGCUCAUUGGUGCCUUCUACCAUGUGAGGACACUUAGAAGGUGCCAUCUAUAAGGAGUGGGCCCUACCCAGACACCAAAUCUGCCAAAACCUAGAUCUUGGAUUUUCCAGCCUCCAGAACUGUGAGCAAUAAAUUUCUAUUGUUUAUAAAUUACCAGUCUAAGAUAUUUUGCUAUAGCAGCCCAAACAGACUAAGAAAUAUGAACUUUAUAACAAUAAUUUCUGUAACUUACAUGAAAUGAGCACAAUCCAUGAAAGACACAAAUUGACAAAACUGCCUGAAGAAGAAAUGGAAAAUCUGAAUACCCUUGUAUCUGUUAAAGAAAUCUGUAAUUUAAAAUGUUUUGCAAAGAACAGAAACCAAUG